GGGAAACAGGUUAAUAUUCCUGUACUUGGUGUUACUGCGAAGGGGGGACGGAGAAGGCUAUGUUGGCCGGGCGACGGUUGUCCCGGUUUAAGCGUGUAGGCUGGUUUUCCAGGCAAAUCCGGAAAAUCAAGGCUGAGGCGUGAUGACGAGGCACUACGGUGCUGAAGCAACAAAUGCCCUGCUUCCAGGAAAAGCCUCUAAGCAUCAGGUAACAUCAAAUCGUACCCCAAACCGACACAGGUGGUCAGGUAGAGAAUACCAAGGCGCUUGAGAGAACUCGGGUGAAGGAACUAGGCAAAAUGGUGCCGUAACUUCGGGAGAAGGCACGCUGAUAUGUAGGUGAAGUCCCUCGCGGAUGGAGCUGAAAUCAGUCGAAGAUACCAGCUGGCUGCAACUGUUUAUUAAAAACACAGCACUGUGCAAACACGAAAGUGGACGUAUACGGUGUGACGCCUGCCCGGUGCCGGAAGGUUAAUUGAUGGGGUUAGCGCAAGCGAAGCUCUUGAUCGAAGCCCCGGUAAACGGCGGCCGUAACUAUAACGGUCCUAAGGUAGCGAAAUUCCUUGUCGGGUAAGUUCCGACCUGCACGAAUGGCGUAAUGAUGGCCAGGCUGUCUCCACCCGAGACUCAGUGAAAUUGAACUCGCUGUGAAGAUGCAGUGUACCCGCGGCAAGACGGAAAGACCCCGUGAACCUUUACUAUAGCUUGACACUGAACAUUGAGCCUUGAUGUGUAGGAUAGGUGGGAGGCUUUGAAGUGUGGACGCCAGUCUGCAUGGAGCCGACCUUGAAAUACCACCCUUUAAUGUUUGAUGUUCUAACGUGGACCCGUAAUCCGGGUUGCGGACAGUGUCUGGUGGGUAGUUUGACUGGGGCGGUCUCCUCCUAAAGAGUAACGGAGGAGCACGAAGGUUGGCUAAUCCUGGUCGGACAUCAGGAGGUUAGUGCAAUGGCAUAAGCCAGCUUGACUGCGAGCGUGACGGCGCGAGCAGGUGCGAAAGCAGGUCAUAGUGAUCCGGUGGUUCUGAAUGGAAGGGCCAUCGCUCAACGGAUAAAAGGUACUCCGGGGAUAACAGGCUGAUACCGCCCAAGAGUUCAUAUCGACGGCGGUGUUUGGCACCUCGAUGUCGGCUCAUCACAUCCUGGGGCUGAAGUAGGUCCCAAGGGUAUGGCUGUUCGCCAUUUAAAGUGGUACGCGAGCUGGGUUUAGAACGUCGUGAGACAGUUCGGUCCCUA
rnacentral:rRNA from 1 species